CGGCAUCCUUCCCUCCAAGAACUUCUCACCUUGCUCUUGGGGAGACUCGAACUCACAACCUCUCGGUUGGAAGUGGGGGUUGCUUACCAUCGGAGCAACCCCCUUGUCUAAAUAUACUAUUCUCAGAGGCCCUAUGCGGACUGCACAAAAUCAACUGCAGCCGCACAACACUACUGGUGUUCUACAGUGACAGGUCUUAGUAUUUUGGCCAUAAUAUUCUCUAACGAUGUCCAAAUGCGUGUUAUAAUAUGUUUCUGAAAACUUGAAGCAUCCCUAAAUUCCUUGUAGAUCAACGAUAUGAGCUUCCGAAGUCGAAUCAGUGAAUCAGUGCGGAUUGCACAAAAUCAACUGCGGCCGCACAGUCUCCAGUACGGACAACAGAAAAACUUCUGCGGUCAGCACUGCGGAUUCAAAGGUUUGCACUUCUCCGAACCUACAACAUCCUUAUUUUUAAGCUUAUGACAUCCCGGGACCUACCCGAAACUCACCUGAGCCAUUGGAACUCCAAACCAAGUGCACAGAAAACCUCAAACAUAUCCUAUGGACUUCUUCUAACCAAAUCGCCCAAAUAACCUGAAUAACAAUGAAUUAAACCUCAAAAUCAAAGAAUUUUCUCAAACUUCUCAAAUCAUCAUUUUUUGCAAUUUAAGUCCGAAUCAUAUCAGCCGACAUCCAUUUUUCACCAAAUUCCACAUAAACGUUUUAAAUCAUAUAUAAGGCCUAUAUAGGGCGUCGGAACAAAAGUACGGGCACGAUACCAUCAUGUUCUAAGCAAAUUUCAUUUCAAAUUUCUUUAAAUAAUUUUAUAAAAUAGUUUUCCUUCAAAAUUUAUUUCUCGGGCUUGGGACCUCGGAAUUCGAUUCCGGACAUGCGCCUAAGUCCUAUAUUUUCCUACGGCCCCCCCGGGACCGUCAAAUUACAGAUCCUUAUCCGUUUAUCCAAAAUAUUGAUCGAAGUCAUAUUUAUUUAUUUUACAGUCAAAACUUAUUAUUUUUCACAGGUUUUUACAUUUAAGCUUUCCGGCUACACGGCCGGACUGCACACGCAAAUCGAGGUGUUGCUAAGGGAGGUUUAUAAGGCCUCAGGACGUAGAAUUUUAUUGCAACACAAGUGAUGACCUUUACGACGUUCCCUUUGGAAUUCAUCCGGUUCGAGUCACACACUUCGCAUUCGAUACUAGUUGUUUCCCAACUCGUCUUUUGUCUAUCUUCGACUCCACGUGUCAUCUUACCAUUCGGCUACUUGUUAUCUUACCAUUCAAUGUUACCUCAUACAAUGACUAGGCUCUAAACUAUGGUGGUUUAUGAAAAUUUCUCUAAAAUAAACUCUGCAAUAUCCAAUAGAAGGCCCAAAUAGUGGCUGAUAUUAUGGGCUUUAUCUGGAACUAAAGCCCAAUAGUCAGGGUUCUGUUACAAGGAGCCCACUAGCUAGACUACUACGCGUAGACAUGUUUAAGUACGGUAGUAGAAAUUACACCAUUUAGUCACUUUUAAUGGUGUUAUUUAACUCAUAACCACAAUUUACAGCAUUCUUAAAAUUUAAUCACUAUUUGAGCUUGAGAAAAUUGAUGUUUUCCGUGAUUAAAAAGGGAAAAUUUGGGAACAUUUGAAAGAUUUAAACAUGAAAUAUGCAAGAAUACUUGAAUCAAGAGGGACUUGCACCAAUGUUGUGGCUUGAAGUUUAAUUGUUAUAGUAGGUCUGUGCGAUACAUGGUUUAUUUUUGGUUAAAUUUCAAAUACUUCAUAAAUUUUGGUUAUAUUUAAAACAUCAGCCAUCAUUGAAAGUGACUACUAGUAUAAACACAUUUAAUAUUUAUUGGGAGAAUGACACAGUUAUCCACUAAAACAAAAUUAUUUACCCUUACCUACCUUUUUGUUUUUUACCCAUCAAGCUAAUUACAUUUCCUACUCAUAGUAAUUUUUGAAAGAAAUUUUCUCUCUUUUCUUCAAUUCUUUUUUAUUUCCAUGCUACUUUUCCUUUUUUUUUUCUCUUUCUUUUCUCCUUUUCUUUUUUCUCGUUUUCUUAUUAUUUUUUCUGUUUUCUUUUCUAAUUUCAUUUAACUUAUUUUUAUAUUCUUUUUAUCUUCAUAAUCUAAUUUUAUUUACUAUUUUUACUAUUUUUUAUUAUUCUUUUUUAUACAAUAAGAAAUAACUUAUAUGAUAAAUAUUUGUUCACUUUUGUUUUAAUAUAACUAGUAUAAUAUACCUCUUGUCUUUUUUCUUAUUUUUAAAAUUAAGUUAUUAAAUUGAAAUAAUAUUAGUUGUCACUUGAUCUAAUUUACUGAAUAUGACACUGACUGCUCCUGAGCACCAUAAAUUAUAUAAUCGACUUUUAAGAAUCAACACGUGAUUAUCAUGCAAAUUUUGAUCUCCUUCCCUAUAAAUAUCUGUACAUACUCUGCCAUUACUAGUAACACAACCAGUUAUUGUAACGACACGACUGGUCACUUUAAAUUCUAGCGCGUCGCUCAGCAGUCUGAGGCCAUGAGUAGCUCCAUUUCAGGUAUUGUGACUUGUACGGAAUCGAAUUUCAGGAAGUUCAAAGUUGAUUUGGAAAGAGAAUUUCCAUUUCGGAAGCUUAAAGUUGAAAGAAUUCACUAAUAUUGGAUUUUUACGUAAACAACAUCUGAAUCGAGAAGGUUUCAACAGGUUCGUAUGAUGAUUUUGGACUUGGGCGUAUGCCCCGAUCGUAUUCUGGAUGACCUGGGAGUGUUUUGGCGUCCAUUGUGGAAGUUAGUAUUUUGGAAGAAAGUUCAUAAAUUUGGCUUGAAUUACAUUUCAAUGUUAUCAAUGUCCGUCUGGGAUUUCGAGUUUGGAAAUAGCUCCGUAUGAUUCUAGAGUUGGGAGCGCGACCGGAAGUGAAUUCGUAGGUUAUUUUGGAGACAUAAAGAUAGAAAUUUGAAGGGUUUUGAGAAGUUUGACCGAAAGUGGACUUUUUGAUAUCGGGGUCGAAAUUUGAUUUCAAAAGUUGAAGUAGGUCUGUAAUAUUGAAUAUGACUUGUGUGCAAAAUUUGAGGUCAAUCGGACGUGAUUUGAUAGGUUUAAACAUCNNNNNNNNNNNNNNNNNNNNNNNNNNNNNNNNNNNNNNNNNNNNNNNNNNNNNNNNNNNNNNNNNNNNNNNNNNNNNNNNNNNNNNNNNNNNNNNNNNNNNNNNNNNNNNNNNNNNNNNNNNNNNNNNNNNNNNNNNNNNNNNNNNNNNNNNNNNNNNNNNNNNNNNNNNNNNNNNNNNNNNNNNNNNNNNNNNNNNNNNNNNNNNNNNNNNNNNNNNNNNNNNNNNNNNNNNNNNNNNNNNNNNNNNNNNNNNNNNNNNNNNNNNNNNNNNNNNNNNNNNNNNNNNNNNNNNNNNNNNNNNNNNNNNNNNNNNNNNNNNNNNNNNNNNNNNNNNNNNNNNNNNNNNNNNNNNNNNNNNNNNNNNNNNNNNNNNNNNNNNNNNNNNNNNNNNNNNNNNNNNNNNNNGGAAGUUUUAAAGUUCAUAAAGCUUGGAUUGGAGGUUGAUUCAUAAUUUUAGCAUUGUUUGAUGUGAUUUGAGGCCUUGAGCAAAUCCGUAAUGUGUUUUAGGACUGGUUUGUAUGUUUGGUUGUAGUCCCGGGGCACGGUUGGAUUCCGGAUGGUUAAUGGAUCAAAAUUUGGAAUUUUGGAUAGCUGAAGGGGGUCUAGUUGCUGGUAUAACCGCUUUUACGGAGGGUUGACCGCAGAGGUGGCCCUACAGAAGCGAGAGAUUUAAUCGCAUACGCGGUUUUGGGCAAGAAGAGAAGAGACCGCAGAUGCGGAACCGCACCUGCGGUGGAGUAGUCGCAGAAGCGUAAAAAGGGCGGUCAAGGGUGGACUGCUGAAGCGGCAUUUUGAACGCACCUAUAGAAUUGCACAGGCGGUCUAGGGUUCGCAGGUGCGAAAAUAGCUGGAGGUAAAGGGGUGCUUUGUAUUCGGGAUUUGGCCAUUCUUCUUCCAUUUUUCACUUGGCAUGGCCGAUUUUGGAGAGCUUCAAGAGAAGAUUUUUAUCAUCAACGUCAAGGUAAGUUGUCCCCAUCUAUUUUGAGUUAAAUACAUCAAUUAUGUAUAGAUUUGAGCGUGAAAUUAUAGAGAUACUUGAGGUUUGAGGGAAAACCUAGAAAAUUAGUAUUCUUGGAAUUUGACCACGAAUUUGGGUAUGGAAUUUAAAAAAAAUCAUGUAUUUGAGUUCGUGAGGCUAUGGGUAAUCUUUAUCUUCAAACAAUUUUGGAUUCUUGGCACAUGGGCUCGAGGGCAUUUUUGUCAACUUUUCGAUCCGGCUUAGGAAUCGUUAUAAAUUUGUUUUUAAUGAGCACCUUAGCAUACAUUAAUGAGUUUACAAAAUCAUUGGCUAAUUUUGGAGUACUGUGCAUUGAUUCCCAUAUUCGAAAAGGCGUUGAAUGCCUGUUAUAGACCUUCGGAGCGAGGUGAGCCUCCUUUCUAACCUUGUAAGAGGGAAUUGUCCCCAUAGGUGAGUUAAUUGGCUAUGUGCUCCUAUUUGAUGGGGCUACGUACGCACAUGGUGACGAGAGUCCGUGUGUAGAUACUAGUAUGCUAUUGUCCGGAUAGUCUAGGACACAAAGGCAUUUUAUGCUUGGAUUAGUUAUAAACUUAUUGACAACUUGAAUUGCUUAAAUUACAUUGAAUUAGCAAAUAAAUUCCAAAAAUGAUUAAAUUUUAUUUUCUUAAAUUGUUAAAAGAGAAUUGGCUAUUUGGAUAAAUAUUCCCUGAUAAAUCCUUAAUUUACUAUUUGAGCAUGUAUUUGUAUGUGUGCCCGCGUCGCGUGUGUGAUUCGAGAGCAGGGUAUUUAUUUAUUUUAUGUCGAAGGCAUAGCAGGAUAGUUCGCGAGCGGCGUAAUAGAUGCAUCUAUGGUUCGAUCCGUUCGACCCUCGAUAGUGCACAGUUUAUAUUUUUGUUGGAGCGGGUCGUACACCUCGGUAUGAGUUGCAUAUUCUUGUUUUUCUUGCCUUGAUAUUGAUAUUUUCUCUCCUCAACUUGAGAUAAUUGGAAACUAAUGGAUUAUAAAUCCACUAACAUUUAAUCUAAAAAGGAACUUUCACCUGAUCAUGGCCUACUUGAAAUUACUAUCAUCCAUGAUAAAUCCAUGAUUAAUCGCAUUAAUAAUAUAUCAUUAUUAGACCCUUUGUAAGUGUUGAAGUCGACCAUCUUGUCUCUACUUCUUCGAUACUAGACCGGAACGCAUCGGAUACACGUUAUUUUUGUAUUCAUACUACACUUCUGUGAAGUUUUGUUGCACAUGCACAUACAUGUCUAGUGGCCUGGGCAUAGUAGCAUGGUUGACUCAGAGACUAGGUGAGUUGUAUUUUCUCGAGGCGACCCACAGCUAGUAUAGUCUCUCUCAGGAUUCUAUUUUAUUUUCUGUCCAAUUGUAUUCCGGAUAGUUGUUGUACUUUAUUUGGUCUUUAUUCGAAAUUGCUCAUGCACUUGUGACACCAGGUUCUGGGAGGAUUUUCGGAUUAUUAAAUGAUAGGUUUUGUUAAGACUUCGCGGUUUUUUCUAUAAAUUUUAUUAUUCGUUAUUUAAUGUAUAAAGAAAAAUAAUUUUAGACAAUAAAAAAAUAAAAUUUAAUUAAAUAUUUUGGUGGGCUUGGCUGACAGCGGUGUCUGACGCCACCAUGACCCUUAGUGGAUUUUGAGUUGUGACAAAAUGGUAUCAGAGCAUUAGGUUCCGGUAGGUCUCAAAAUUCAUGAUCAAGUAUAGUAGAGUCUCGCUGAUCGGUACAGAGACGCCUGUAAUUAUCUUAAAGAGGCUACAGGGCUGUAUUCCAUAUCGUGCGAGUGCGAUUUGAUUCAUGUGAGGCUUAUGCCUUUGUUUCAUUCCUACUCAAUCUUACGCGAUGUGAAUCACUUGUAGUAAAUUGAGAAUUUAAGAAUCGUAAUGGUAAUACGGGCAUGGUGCAGGGUGUUUCUCCUUGCGGGGUUGUGUGAACUAUUAUGAUCGCCUUGUGGAAGGAUAUACUAUGGUUACAGCUCAUUAGCGGUACUUCUGAGAGCCUUGAGGCUAGGUACAAGUUGCCAUGAUGCUUGUGAGCAAUUAUUACGCAGUAUUGUUAUGAUGGUAGGAUGUUUUCCUGUGUGUCGAGAUAGUGAAUGACUUGAAGGGAGGUUUACUCAGUGCAUGAUCUAGAGAUUCAGUGUUUUAUUCCCGGCAACGGAAAGGCAAUCGGGCAGAGAAUGUUUAGGUUUGAGAUGAUGAGGUAUCGAGACUCGGUAUUUGCUAGCGUGGUUGAAGUUUUCUUCUAUGAUGCGGUGUUGUUUUCCUUAUUGAAUGUACUAGAUUCGCUGAUGUAAUGAUCUUCUACAAUUCGCCCUUGGAGGAGGAUAUUGUAGGCUAGUAUUAAACUAGCGAUUGUUAGAUGUCGUGAGGCAUGGUGGUUCAGGGUCGAAUCAACAUUUAUAAUAUGGGCAGCUCGGGAGAGAUGAUCUCCAGCAAAAUUUAAAGUUAGUAGCGAUUUGUGGAUUCACGUGCUACGAAGGUAUAUUUUAUUAAGGCAAUAACAGAGUAGCAAAGGAUGAGGAAAGAUGUGCGGGAAGUGUCAGGCGGUGUCUAAAAUUUUUGGAAGGCCAGGUAUAAGAGUCGCAGGUCGAGUAGUUGAUUAAAGAAGCGAGUUUGCCGAAAGUGGGAGAGUGGCGGAGUUGCAUAUGGGCUUGGAGGUAGGAUGACUACGCAUCUCAUAUAGAAUUUGGAUCAAUUUGGGAAUUUUAGUGAUUGGUGAUUGGGGGUCUACAGAUCUAAUUUGAAGUAGGGUUCUUGUGGAGCAGGGGAUUUUAUAUAACGGAAAGAAGUCGCUCAAAUGAAGAAGGAUGCAUCAUAACUUUGAAAUGGAAGGAUGUUGCCGCAUGUUUACUUGAUGUCCACGAGGGGUGAAUGGACUUGUAUAGCUAGAGAGUGAGCUCGGACUCCGUAUGGGUCAGUGUUGUCGUAGUUAUUGUACCCCAUGAAGCAGCGUUAGAAGAUGUCGGGAAGUGAUUUCCACAUGUAGGUUAUUCCCUUCAAGCAGGUUAGCGGUCACGUGGAUAGUGAAUCUUCUGCGAUGAUUUCUAUUAGUCAUAGAGUGACGAGAUCGAUCGUGCAAAUGUGGUUGAUGAUUCAAAGUAUAAAAAGGGGGUUUUAUAGAAAGAAUCAGAAGGAUUUAGGCGAUUGAUUGCGCAAGGUUAUGUCAAUAAGAGCUGAAGAAUUCUGGAAAAUUCCAAAGUUGUGUAAUGGUGUCUUUGAUCCAAGUGGGAGAGUCCCAUCGCCUAUGAGUUGGGUUGCAUGGUUAAAUACUUGCGAGGUUUCCAGUUAUUAGCAUAUUGAUGGGUUAUAUGAGCUACGGGGAAAGACCAUAAGUGAUAAAUAGCGCAAAUGAAUUGUUGGAUGCAUGCUAUGGUUGGCCUUUUGGCUUAUGUUCAGACUUGGGAAAGGAUUCAGAAUAUAUGCAUUGUAUGGAUGGGAAUUUCAAGGAAAGGGAUUCUGUCGGGUGCUUCGUCGAGAGGGUAUUUCUGUGCUAGAGGCUUCUUAUAGUUGAUUAAAUUUGGGACCAAGACAGAGCGGGUGGCUCUCAUCAACGAUCCUGCUGGAUUCAAAAAGAAGUAAAGUUUGGUGUCUAAUGAUUUCGAGCCUAUAAGUACAGUUAAGAAUCUAUCCUUUGCAGCAACUUAUGAGUGGAGGCCUAAAAUAUUUCUGAUGUGUUGGCUUAUAGUGUAGCAAUUGAGAGGAAAAUGAGAAAGGAAUUCAGAUUCGUAGAAGGAUUAGCAAAAUGGGCAUAUCAGUUGAAGGUGAGAAUGUGCGCACAAGGAAGGUAAAAAUGGUUCAUGGGAUUUGAGACAUCAUGUUCUUACGGUUGAAUUCACUCGGGGUGAGUGCGGAUGAAGUGUGUUAUAUGUAGAAAGGAGUUAUUGUUAUUACCAAGGCAAUCAUGACAAAUAGAAGGAAGAUAUGUUGGCUAACCACAAUUGAGUGGGCGUAUUGGUGGUAGUGAUCAGUUCCUUAAGUGUGAUCAAGUUAUGCAUGUGAUUUGUGGCGGUACGUAUGAGGGCUGUCGGCCGCCGUAGUUGAUGUUAUUCAGAAGCAUUCUACUAUUAUAAUUGGUUAUGUGGAAGCGGAUUCUGAAAGGGCUAUGGUGGCUUAGACCACAACUUAGAUGUUUGCAUAUUCUACGGUUAUAAGAAUUUAGCUGUGAGUUGCUAUGUUUCUCCUGAAAUGAGUCCAGUGAAAAGCUUUUAUGGGCACAUUCGGUGCAGUGAGUGGUAUGGAAUUUGAAGUGAUGAUCAAGGUUGCAGUUUGGUGCUGACAAGGAUGUCACGAGCUCGGAUGAGCACGAAAGGAGUUUCAAUGUUUAAAGUAAGUUGGUAUUGUCAUCAGUGUCAUCUUAGAUCGGUGUUUUGUGAAAAAGGCUUUGCAUCUUGGCUUGGGAUUCUUGAUCGCUUUUCAAUGUUAGUGCGACCGGUGGUUUGGAUGUGCAGAUCUGUUAUGUGUUUCGGAAGGUUGAGGGAGCGUGUCCCCUAGGAAGAUUGUAUAAGUGUGACGUAUAGUCACUUGAUUGUUCAAGGAUUUAAACCAAGUAUGAGGAUUGUGGUAAUAUUAUUACUUUGAGAAUUUAUACCUGGAGAGCACUCUGUUUAAUGGGUUAUGGACUGUGGAGGUUCAAUCCGAUUAUGAUGGUUGUUUUUUGUGUUAUGAGAAAAGGUUAGUUACUAUGAACCUUUGAAAGGUCAUUAACCUAGAUGGUGCAAUCAGAAAUCAGCUUGGGAUCCGUGGAUGGAUUUAAUUUUGAACAUGGGCUUUAUAGCAGGCCAGAUAUGAUCAUAUCAGCAAUACGGUCUUUAUGGAAGAGUAAUCGCAAUGUUAUUUUACUGUCAGCUAUUUCAUGUAAUGAUGUAUUACGCCGUAUGAGUUGUGAGACGGCCUAGUGAAUUUCUUACGUUUUGAGAUUUCGCAUAGAGAUGAGGUGAUAUGAGCAGGAUGGCUCUUGAGAUUCAGAUCGUAUGUCACACCUCAGUUGUGCUAGAGUUGUGGAUUAUAGCGUUAUAUGUCUCCCUAGGGAAUGGUAUUAUACACUUAGAGCAUUUAUGACCGAUGUUAGGUAUUUUGUUGUAAUGAUCAAUUUAGCUCAAUGUACUUCUCCUUGUGCGAGUUCCAUAUGUGGAUCGGGUGGCACGCCUCUAUAGGUAUGUUAUUUGGACCGGGUGGCACGUCGCCAUGGUUAUAUUAUGUGGAUCGGGUGGCACACCGCCAUGGUUACGUUGCUCAGAUCGGGUUACACGGCGCAAUAGCGUGAUGUUCAAUAUAGUUCCCCAUAUCCAUUUUUAAGUGUUCUAUAUCCUUGUUUCUAAGGAAAGCUCAUAUUAGCUGUGAGCCCGCAUCGCAUGUAUGAUUCGCGAGGGGGGGUGUCUGUUUAGUAUAUUUCCCGCGUCGCAUGUAUGAUUCGCAGGAGGGGUAAUAGGAUCUCCUUUUCAGAGUUCGUUUUCCCUUUUAUAUCACAUUCUAAUCGGUAGCCUAUUGGCAUAUCAUGGAAUCAUAUGAGACUUUUUUUCAUAUCGGGGUGGCUUAUUUCUUGAGCAGUUUGUACUAGGUGAGACGAGAUGUUGGAUUUAGGAUCUAUGCAAUUGAUUAUGUGAAAUAUAUUAAGGAUCAAAGAUCAUUAUUUGGUUAAGAAUGAGGUAAUGUUUCUUGUCAGAAGUAUAAACUAAAUGAUUGGUUGACUCGGUGGUUGAUUACGAAUUUUUACACACUUCUUUCUUUGUAGCGGUAUUAUAAGAGUUAGAGUGAGGCCUAUGUAUGUCAUGAGGUGCAAUUGGAGUAUGAUUCAUGGAAUUUAGACUAAGUUGAUCAGAAAGUGUUAUUGUGGCCGGUGAGUAAAUUGAUGCAAGGUGUGAAUUCAGCAUAAUUGUGCAGUCAUGUAUGGGUACAAUGUGUAGUGGUUGAUAAGUGAUUGAAUUUUAGAAACAGUCCUGGCAGGAAAUUCCGGAUGCUGGAAUUGGGGUUUAAGGCUUAUUUGCUUGAUUAAAAAAGGAAUAUCUUCAGAAUUAUCGAGCUAAUAUGCUCAACUGAGUUGCGGUGGCACGGGAGGGUGCAUGAGGUGUUAAACAUUUAUUUCAGACUACUUCAGCAUAGUCCUCAGCACGUUCAAUGACGAAUGUAUGUUGAGUGGGAGAGAAUGUAACGACCUAACCGAUGAACUCCAGCGUGUCGCUCAGCAGUCUGAGGCCAUGUGCAGCUCCAUUUCAGGUAUUGUGACUUGUACGCGCUGUUGGAAUCGAAUUUCGAGAAGUUUAGAGUUAAUUUGGAAAGAGAAUUCUCAUUUCGUAAGCUUAACGUUAAAAAGAAUUUACUAAGAUUGGAUUUUUAAAUAAACGACCAUGGAAUCGAGAUUUAAAGGUUCCAAUAGGUUUUUAUGAUGAUUUUGGACUUGGGCGUAUGCCCGGAUCAGGUUUUGGAUGACUCGAGAUUGUUUUGGUGCCCAUUGUGGAAGUGAGCAUUUUGGAAGAAUUUUAUAAGUUUGGUUUGAAAUGCAUUUCAGUGUUAUCAUUGUCUGUCUGGGAUUCCGAGUCUAGAAGUAGAUCCAUAUGGCAAUUCUGAAGUUGGGAGCGCGAUAAGAAAUUAAUUUGGAGGCCCGUAGGUCAUUUUGGAGCCAUUUGGCUAAAGAUAGAAAUUUGAAGGUUUUUGAGAAGAUUGACGGAAGUGGACUUUUUAAUAUCAGGGUCGGAAUCUGAUUAUGAAAGUUGGAGAAUAUCCGUAAUGUCGAAUAUGACCAGUGUGCAAAAUUUGACGUCAAUCAGACGCGAUUUGAUAGGUUUUAGCAUCGAAAGUAGAAGUUGAAAUUUCUAAGUUUCAUAAAUCUUGGAUGGAGGUUGAUUCAUGAUUUUAGUGUUGUUUGAUGUAAUUUUUGAGGCCUUAAGCAAGUUCGUAAUGUGUUUUGGGAGUGGUUGGUAUGUUUGGUUGAGGUCCCGGGGUCCUCGGGUGAAUUUCGGGUGAACGGAUCGAAAUUUGGAAUUUUGGAUAGCUGAAGGGGUCUGGUUGCUGGUACAACCACUUAUGCGGAGUGUUGACCACAGAAGCGAGAGAUUUAACCGCAUAUGUAGUUUUGGACUAGAAGAUAAUAGACUGCAAAUGUGGUCAUAUUUCCGCAGAUGUGGAAUCGCACCUGCGGUGAAGUAGUCGCAGAAGCGAAAAAAGGGCGGCCAAGGGUGGACCGCAGAAGAGGCAUUUUGACCACACCUGCGGAACCAAAGAAGCGGUCAAGGGUUCGUAGGUGCGGAAAUAGCUGGAGGCAGAGGGGUGUUUUAUAUUCGGGAUUUGACCAUUCUUCUCCCAUUUUCACUUGGCAUGUGCAAUUUUGGAGAGCUUCAAGAGGCGAUUUUCAUCAUCAACGUCAAGGUAAGUUAUCCUCACCUAUUUUGAGUUAAAUACAUCAAUUAUGUAUGGAUCUGAGCGUGAAAUUGUAGAGAAACUUGGGGUUUGAGAGAAAACCUAGGAAAUUAGUAUUCUUGGAAUUUGACCACGAUUUUGGGUAUGGAAUUGAGAGAAAAUCAUAUUUGUGGUUGUGAGAUUAUGGGUAAUCUUUAUCUUCGAAAAUUUUUGGAUUCCGGGCACAUGGUCCCGAAGGCAUUUUUGUCAACUUUUUGAUCAGGGUUAGGAAUUAUUAUAACUUUGAUUAUCAUGAGUACAUUAGCAUAUAUUAAUAGGUUUAAUCAUUGGCUAGUUUUGGAGCGUUGUGCAUCGAUUCGAGUCUUCGAAAAUGCAUGGAAUGCAGGUUAUGGACCUUCAGAGCAAGGUGAGUCUCAUUUCUAACUUUGUAAGAGGGAAUAGUCCCCAUAGGUGAGUUAAUUGGCUAUGUGCUCCUAUUUGAGGGGGCUGUGUACGCACGAGGUGACGAGAAUAUGUAUGUAGCUGCUAUUAUGCUAUUGUACAGGUUGUCUAGGACCCAAAAGCAUGCUAUACUUGGAUUAAUUGUAAACUUAUUGACAACUUGAAUUGCUUAAAUCACAUUGAUUUAGUAAAUAAAUUCCAAAAAGGAUUAAACUUCAUUUCCUUAAAUUGUUAAAAGACAAUUGGUUUUUAUUUGGAUAAAUAUUCCCCGAUAAAUCCUUAAUUUACUGUUUGAGCAUGUAUUUGUAUGUGUGCCUGCGUCGCAUGUGUGAUUCACGAGUAGGGUAUUUAUUUAUUUUAUGUUAACCGCGUCGCAAGAUAGUUUGUGAGCGGGGUAAUAGAUGCAUCUAUGGUUUGAGCCGUUCGACCCUCGGCAGUGCACAAUUUAAAUCUCUGUUGGAGUGGGUUGUACGCCUGAGCAUGAUUUGCACAUGCUUGUAUUUCUUGCCUUGAUAUUGAUAUUAUCUGUCCCCCACUUGAGAUAAUUGGAAACUAAUGGAUUAUAAAUCCACUGACAUUUAAUCUAAACAGGAACUUUCACCUGAUAAUGACCUACUUUAAAUUAUUGUCAUCCUUGAUAAAUCCUUGAUUAAUCGCAUUAAUAAUAUAUCAUUAUUGGAUCCUUAGUAAGUGUUGGAGUCGACCAUCUUGUCUAUACUUCUUCAAGAUUAGACGGGAUACUCAUUGGAUGCACGUUGUUUUUGUACUCAUACUACACUUCUGUGCAGUUUUGUUGCACAGACACAUGCAUCUCUAGUGGCUUGGGCAUAGCAGCAUGGUUGACUCAGAGACUAGGUGAGCUGUAUUUUCUCGAGGAGACCCGGAGCUAGUAUAGUCUCUCUCAGGAUUUUAUUUUAUUUUCUUUCCAAUUGUAUUCCGGAUAGUUGUUGUACAUUGUUUUGUCUUUCUUAGAAAUCGCUCAUACACUUGUGGCACCGGGUUUUGGAAGGAUUUUCAUAUUAGUAAAUGAUAGGUUUAGUUAAAGACUUCGCGGUUAUUUCUGUAAAUUUUAUUAUUUAUUAUUUAAUGUAUAAAGAAGAAUGAUUUUGGACAAAAACAAUUAACUACAUAUUUUGGUAGGCUUGUCUGAGAGCGGUGUUCGGGGACAACAUGACCCUUAGUAUAUUUUGGGUCGUGAAGUUAUGGAGCAAGAAAAUAUAAUCUGCGGCCACCAAAUCUCCAUAUACAUUAGUUAAAAUAGAAAUAAUAACAAAAUAUUGGAAAAUGCAAUAAACGUAUAAGUAGCAAAAAAGACUUCUAGUAACAUAUGAUACAAAUAUGGUAUCAUGUAUAUUAACAGAAUAUAUGAUUGCUCUAGAAUAUUUCUAAAACUAUCUGGGACUAUACUAUUGUACCAAAAUAUUAAGGAUACAAUAAAAGUAUGAGAAAUUACAUGCUUGCAACUAAAUAUUCGCAAAUUAACAUUCUCAUUCCGUAUGCUAAUAUAGUAUAUAGUUGUAUGGGGUUGUUCCAAUAAUUAUCUAUAUCUACAAAAACUAUUACAUAAUACAUAUAAUCUAUGUCCACCGGCACAAAAGAAUUUCAGUACUGCAAAUCAUGUUUAUAUAAAUAAUUUCAAAAUAGUAAUCAAUUAAAAAUGCAGCUAAAACAACCAAAAAAAUGUUCAAACUACCAUAUGAUACCAAAUAUGAUAUAUAACUAUACCAACAUGCUAUACAACUUUACUGGUUAAUUUUCAGCAACUGUAUGGCUAUACUACUAUUAUAUAUAACACACAUGCAUAAAGAGAAAAAUAAAAAAAAUAGUGUACGAUUGUGACGACCCAAAGGGUUAUUACCGGUUUCGUUAUGCAUUGUGUGUCUCUAAGGCCCUAAAAAUCUCAUUUAGGGUUGCCUCGAUUAGUGUGCGCAGUCUGAGCGCAUAGUUGGAAGGCUUAAAAGGUAAAAUUUAUCGAAAAUUACUAAGUUCUGAUAUUAAAAUAAAUAAAGUUGACUUCGGUAAAUAUUUUGGGUAAACGGACCCGGGCCCAUGAUUUGACGGUCUCGGAGGGUUCGUAGAAAUAUAUGGGAUUUGGAUGUAUGCCCGGAAUCGAAUUUGGAGGUCCCAAGCCCGAUAAAUGAAUUUUGAGUAAAAUUGUUUUCUAGAAAUAAUUAUGGAAAUUGGAAAUAAAAUUUGAUUAGAAAAUUAUGGUAUAGAGCCCGUAUUUCUGUUCCGGUGCCCGGUUUACGUCUUAUGUACUCCCUCUGUUUUAAUUUCUAUAAAACUAUUUUCUUUUUAGUCCGUGCCAAAAAGAAUGACCUCCUUCCUUAUUUGGAAACAGUUUACCUUUAUGUAAUGACUUAUAGCCACACAAAAUAUAUGUACUUUAUUUUACACCACAAGUUCAAAAGCCUUCCCUCUUUUCAUAAACUCUGUGCUCAGUAAAUGGGUUCACAUAAAUUAAAACGGAUGGAGUAUGAUUAAAAUACUUUAUGUAAAGUUUGGUUGAAAUUAGACAUAGUUAGACGUGUUUCGGACUUAAAAUGGAACAUUGAUGUUUUAUGAAAAAUCUGGAAGAAAUCAUGAGUUUUGAGGCUUGAUCCGGUAUAUAUGAUGUUAUUUUGGUGAUUUGAUCGCACGAAUAUGUUUGUAGAGUGUGAGUAUGUUUGGUUUGGAGCCCCGAGGGAUCGGGUGAGCUUCAAGUAGGUUCCAGGAUGCCUUAGAGCUAAAAUAUCAGAUAUUGCAGGUUCAGAAAAAAUUGGACAGGUCUCUGAACCCUCCAGCAUGGCCCAAGUGGAAAUAAGUGCGGUCGCGGUCAGCAGUCUGCGGUGGGUGCUGCGCGGCCGUGAUCGGUCCGCACUGGGCAAUGAUCCGCAGGUCUUCAGCAACCUGUAUGGCCGUGAUUCUUUUUGCGUGGUCUGCACGGGGACUUUUGAAGGGGUAUAAAUACACAUGAAUUUCAGUUAUUUUUUACUUUUCAAAAACCCAAAAUAUAAGAGACGAUUUUCCAAACACCUCUUCUUCUCCAAAACGAUCGGUAAGUGAUUUUUAACUUAUUUUCUUCACUCCUUAACAUCGUUUAACAUGAUUUCAUAUUUAAAUCAAAGAUUUUCAUGGGAAAAUUGGGGAUUUUGAGUAGAACCUAGGUUUUUCUAAAAUUUGAAGAUUUGGACCUCUAUUUGAGGUCUAGUUUCAAAAUAAAUCAGAGAUAUGAACUCGUGGGGGACUGUGUAACCGGGUUUUGAUUCGAACCUCGGAUUUUGACCACGUGGGUCUGGGGGCAUUUUUGAAAUUUUUGGAAAACUCUGGGAAAUUUAUUUUCAUGCAUUCAAAUUGAUUCAAUUAGCACUUGUUGAUGUAUUCAAGUAAUUUGUGACUAGAUUUGAGCGGUUUGUGGCGGAAUCGAGGGGUAAAGAUAUACGUGAGGCUUGAGUUGAGUUUGAAGCAUCGAGGUAAGUCUUCAGUUUAACCUUAGCUUGAGGGAUUAGGAGUUGAGUCAUAUUUGCUAUGUGUUUCCCUUUGGGUACAACAUAUGGUCAUGGUGACGAAUAUCUAUACGUUGGUGUCAAGCAUGACUGUGAGUCUUAAAUUGAUACUUGUGCAUUCUUGAAUAAUGUUAUGACUGAAAUAGUGAGAAAAUUCGUAGUAUUGAGCAAAGGCUUAGUUUAUUUUCGUAGAAGAACUCGAGAGAUGAAAAUGAUGAUAGUAGUGAUGAGUAGAAGUUGAAUUGAGAUUGGUUAUAGCGUAUUCUCCCUUGCCGGGAUGUUUAUACUUGUGUUGAGUUCCCUUGCUGGGAUAGUGUAAUAUAUGGUUAGUCCCUUGCCGGUAUUGUUGCUGUGAUCACUGUAAGCUGUAUCGAAUGGGCUAUGCAUAUCUUUAUUAAUGAAAAUAUAUAUGUUGGAUCGGAUUGCACGCUGCAUCGGAUUGUAUGCUACAAAUAUUAUAAUAUGCAUAUGGAUCGGGUUGCACACCGCAACAUAUAUUAUAUAUACUAGGUCAAGUUGCACGCCGCACCAAUUAUAAUAUGCAUAUGGGUCGAGCAGCACGCCGCAACAGAUAUUAUAUAUACUCGGUCGGGUUGCACGCCACAACAAUUUAAGAUGCAUUGGAUCGGGUUGCGCAUCACAAUAGUAGUAUUAUUAGACUGUUUAAGCUGUAGUACUGUUCCUUCAUAUUUAUUUGAUUUUUACUAGAUUAAAUUAUUCCCACGAAGCAUGUACCCCCUCCAUUCUACUGCUUAUCUCUUGUUUAUUUUUCCGACAUAUAUUAUAUAUAACUGCACAGGUUUAUCUGGAUUGGUCCUAGCCUCGUCACUACCUAGCUGGGGUUAGGUUAGAAACUUACCAGAACAUAUGGUCAGUUGUGCUGAUGCUACACUCUAAACUUAUGUGCAGAUACCGGAGCAACUUACGGAGAGUAGUAGUAGCCAGGGAGCCAACCUUCAGUCCACGGGAUCCCGGGGUAGUCCUGCAGGUGCCCGCAGGCCCGACAUCUCUUCUAUCUAUUUAUGCCAUGUUUCCUUUUGUACCCGAGACAAAGUUUUAUUUCAUUGUUUUAGACUCUUGUAUUUAGCACUCUUAGAAAGUCCGUGAUAUUUCUUGACACCAGAUGCUGGGUUGAGACCUAUAUGGAAGUUUUAGACUUUGUAGUUAUUUUUAAUUCAGACUUUCGCUAUUUUGUUAAAUCACUGUAUUUUAAUUGCUUAAUUUAUUAGUUAUUGUAUUAUUUUAAUCAUGCAAUUAAGGAGAUAGGAUAAGAUUGUGAAGGUUCUUAGCUUGCCUAGCUUAUAUGCGUAGGCGCCAUCAUGACUCUAGGGGGAGGUAUUCCGGGUCGUGACAAGUUGGUAUAAGAAUACAAGGUUUCAUUGGUCUCAUAACUCAUGGACAAACUUUGUAUAUUUUGACGGAUCGGUACAAAGACGUCUGCAUUUAUCCCAGAGGCUAUAGAGUUGGGAAAAAAUUCAUAUUUGUUCUUUCUUGCCGUGCGGUUCUGUUUCUCAAGUACUGAUUGCCUUCCUACUCUAUUCUUUCGCACAUAGCGAGAACACGCGCUUACUCUUCUACCGCUCAGCAGCCCAAGCCCCCAUUAGCGGCUCAGGGAGGGGCAGAGGGCGAGGCCGACACUGAGGCCGUGCUAGAGGCCGAGGCAGGGGCAGAGCUCAGUUCCGAGCAAUAGCCCCAGUGGCGCAACCUUAGAUUGAUUAUGACAAGGAGGUUCCAGCUCCAGCAGUUCCGGUGGGCCCCGCUCAGGUCCCAGAGGGGUUUAUAAUCAUCCCAAUUCUUCAGGAGGCUUUGGUCAGAUUUGUGGGGUUCAUAGAGAGUGUCACCAGAGCGGGUUUUCUUCCAAUAGCACCAGCCACUCCUUAGGCUGGAUGAGGGGUUCAGAUUCUGUUGGACAUACUUCAGAGCAAGUGGCUCCAGCUGUGGUAAUUCAGUCGGGUACAAUGGCUCAGACUGGCUAUGGGGCGGCUAUGUCCGCGGAUUCAUUGUGGAGGCUGGAUAGAUUCAUUAAGCUCUUCACCACCACAUUCAGCGGUGCUUCUUCAGAGGAGCCCCAUGAUUUAUUAUAUAUCUUCCAUGAGGUUCUUUAGAACAUUGGUAUUGUUGAGACCAAUGGGGUCGAUUUUUCCACCUUUCGUCUAUCUGUAUCCGCCAAGACUUUGUGGAGAGAUUAUUGCUUAGCCAGACCAGUAAGGUCGCCUUCUUUGACUUGGGAGGAGUUCUCAGAGUUGUUCAUAGAAACUUUUCUCCCUGUUACUCAGCAAGAGGCUCUUCGUAGGCAGCUCGAGCGCCUCCAGCAAGGCUCUAUGAUGUUCACUCAGUAUGAGACCCAGUUUAUUGAUCUAGGUCGCCCUGCUAUUGUCAUACUCCCCACCGAGAGAGAGAGAGAGGGUGAGAUGGUUUAUUGAUGGUUUGAUUCAGCCGAUUCGUCUCCAUAUGGCUUUGGGAAUCGAGAGUGAGAUCAAUUUUCAGAAGGCAACUAAUGCGGCCCGCAGAGUUGAGAUAGCUUUGUUGCAACGAGGCUGUCAUAGGUCGGAUAAGAGGCCCCGUCAUUCAGGCAGAUUUAGUGGUACCUCAUAUGGAGGUAGAGAUUCUUAUGGUAGAGGCCAUCCUCCUAGGCCCUUUUAGUCAGCUCUACAGGUCUCUCAUAGUACUUCAGGUGGUCGAGGUUCUCAGCCGCAUUAUUCUGAUCAGCAGCCCUACAGUGCAUCACCAGCUCCUAUCAGUGCACCACCGCCUCAGAGCUUCCGAGGUGGUCAUUCAGUUCGACAGGGUCCGUCUCAGUUUCAUCAGCCGCAGUUUUCGGAUGGGUGUUAUGUGUGUGGUGAGUAGGUCACAUUAGGAGGGAUUGGCCGACGUUGAGGGUGCUCUGUCGUAGCAGCAUGGUCCUCGUCCUAUGGUUCAGUCCCCAUGUGCUCCACAGGUCUCCCAGCCAACUAGAGGCGGGGCAGUGGUCAUAGAGGUUGAGGUAGAGCUCAGACUGCCAGAGGUAGAGGCCAUCCGCAGCCGACCGUCCCAGAGAUAUGGUUCAGGGAGGUGGGGCCCAACCCCGGUGUUAUGCUGUUCCAGCUAGGCCACAAGUUGAGUCUUCAUAUGCAGUUAUUACAGGUACUAUUCUGGUUGGUGAUAGAGAUGCUUCAGUGCUAUUUUACCCUGGUUCUACGUAUUCGUAUGUGUCAUUUUAUUUUGCACCUUACAGAGGUAAUGCCUAGUGAUGCAUUGAGUAUUCCUGUUCAUGUGUCUACACCGGUGGGCGAGUCUAUUAUGGUCGACCGAGUUCAUCCUUCCUGUGUAUAGGUGUUUGAGGGUCUUGAGACCCGUAUUGAUUUAUUGCUCUUAGACAUGGUGGACUUCGACAUUAUAUUAGGGAUGGAUUGAUUGUCCCCGUAUCUUGCUAUCUUGGAUUGCCAUGCCAAAAUCAUAACCUUAGCUUUACUAGAUUUACCCCGGUUGGAGUGAAGAGGGACCCCAGGUCAUGCCACCCGCAGUGUCAUAUCAUAUGUGAAUGUUCGACACAUGGUCGAGAAGGGGUUUUUAGCUUAUUUAGCAUAUGUUCGCGACUCCACCAUGGAGGUCCCUUUUAUCGAUUUGGUACCCAUGGUUCGAGAAUUUCCUGAGGUUUUCCCUUCAGACCUGUCGGCUAUGCUGCCCGACAUGGAUAUUGACUUUUGCAUUGAUCUGGAUCUGGGCAUGCAGCCCAUUUCUAUCCCAUCGUAUCGCAUGGCCCCGCCAGAUUUGAAAGAGUUAAAUGAUCAGUUGCAGGAUUUGCUUGAGAAGGGUUUCAUUAGACCCAGCAUUUCGCUUUGGUGUGCCCCAAUAUUAUUCGUGAAGAAAAAAGAUAGUUCGAUGAGGAUGUGCAUUAAUUAUCGGCAAUUGAACAAAGUUAUCUAUAAUAAUAAGUAUCCAUUGCUGAAGAUUGACGAUUUGUUCGACCAACUUUAGGGUGACAAGGUGUUUUCAAAGAUAGACUUGAGAUCUGGCUACCAUCAGUUGAGGAUUAGGGUAUCUGAUGUCCCAAAGACAGCUUUCCUAACUCGUUACGGGUAUUACGAGUUCCUGGUCAUGUCAUUUGGGUUGAUCAAUACCCCAACAACAUUUAUGGAGUUGAUGAACCGAGUGUUCAGGCCUUAUUUGGACUUGUUCGUGAUAGUCUUUAUUGCUGAUGUUUUGAUAUACUCCUGCAGCCAAGAGGAGCACGAGCAACAUCUCAGAGUGGUUACUCUGAAGGAUAGUCAGUUAUAUGCUAAGUUCUCGAAGUGAGAAUUCUGGUUGAGUUCUGUUGCAUUCCUGGGUCACGUUGUUUCAACAGAGGGUAUUCAGGUGGACCUGAAGAAGAUUGAGGCAGCCAAGAACUAUCCUUGACCAAUAUCAGCUAUAGAGACCCAGAGUUUCUUGGGGUUAGCAGGUUACUACCGUCGGUUCAUGGAGGGGUUUCCAUCUAUUGCAGCCCCAAUGACUAGAUUGACCCAGAAGGGCGCCCAAUUCAAGUGGUUAGAUGAGUGCGAGAGAAGCUUCCAAAGGCUCAAGACAGGUCUGACUACGGCACCGGUAUUGGUUUUGCCCUCGGGAUUAGGGCCUUAUACCAUUUAUUGUGAUGUUUCCCGUAUUGGGCUUGGUGCAGUAUUGAUGCAGGAUGGUAGAGUCAUGGUGUAUGCUUCGAGGCAGUUGAAGACUCACGAGAAGAAUUAUCCAGUCCAUGAUCUAGAGUUGGUAGCCAUCAUUCAUGCUUUAAAGAUUUGGAGGCAUUAUCUAUAUGGUAUGACGUGUGAGGUGUUCACGGAUCACAAGAGUCUUCAAUACUUGUUCAAGAAAAAGGAGUUGAAUUUGAGGCAGAGGAGGUGGUUGGAGUUGUUGAAAGAUUAUGAUGUGACUAGCUUGUGUCACCUGGUAAAGGACAAUGUGGUAGCCGAUGCUUUGAGUAGGAAGUCAGCCAACAUGGGGAGUCUUGCUUAUAUUCCGGUCAGCAAGAGACCGCUUUCUUUGAAUGUUCAGGCUUUGGAAAAUCGAUUUGUGAGGUUGGAUAUUUCUGAGCCUAGCUAAGUGUUAGCUUCCACGGUAACUCGUUCUUCAUUAUUGGAGUGUAUCCGUGAUCGGUAGCUUGAUGAUCCCCAUUUGUGUGUCCUAAGAGAUACGGUGCAGCAUGGAGGUUCCAAGAAAAUGACCUUAGAUGAUGAUAGUGUCUUGAGAUUGUAGAGGCGAGUUUGUGUGCCCAACGUUGAUGGGAUUCGGGAGUUGAUCUUAGUAUAGGCCCAUAGCUCCCGGUAUUCUAUUCACCUGGGCGCCGCGAAGAUGUAUUAGGAACUGAGACAACACUAUUGGUGGCACAGAAUGAAGAAAAAUAUUGUUGCAUAUGUGGCUCGUUGUUUUAAUUGUCAGCAGGUUAAGUAUGAGCAUCAGAAACCUGGUGGACUGUUUCAGAGGAUUGAGCUUCCCGAGUGGAAAUGGGAGAGGAUCACUAUGGAUUUUGUUACUGGACUCCCGUUGACCCGGAAGAAGCUUGAUGCGAUCUAGGUCAUUGUUGAUAGGCUGACCAAGUCAGUGCAUUUCGUUCCUGUUGCAGCCACAUAUUCAUCCGAGAGGUUAGCUGAGAUCUACAUUCCGGAAAUUUUUCGCCUUCAGGGGUACCGGUAUCCAUCAUUUCGGAUAAGGGUAUGCAGUUUACCUCACACUUCUAGAAAGUAGUUCAACAAGAGUUGGGCACCCAGGUUGAGCUGAGUACAACAUUUCAUUCUCAAACGGUUGGACAGUGGGAGCGGACUAUUCAAAUAUUGGAGGAUAUGCUCCGAGCUUGUGUUAUUGACUUUGGAGGUUCCUGGGAUUAGUUCUUUCCAUUAGCAUAGUUAGCCUACAACAACAACUACCAGUCCAUCAUUUAGAUGGCUCCUUAUGAGGCAUUGUAUGGUAGGCAAUAUCGGUCUCCAGUUGGAGGGUUUGAGCCGGGAGAGGCUCGGUUAUUGGGUGCGGAUCUAGUUUAGGAGGCCUUGGACAAGUUCAAGAUCAUUCAGAAUAGGAUUCGUACAGCUCAGUCCAGGCAGAAGAGUUUUAUAGACCAUAAGGUUUGAGAGUGACUUUCAUGGUUGGUGAGAGAGUAUUGCUCCGAGUGUCGCCUAUGAAAGGCGUGAUGAGAUUCAUGAAGAAGGGCAAGCGUAGCCCUAGGUUCAUUGGUCCAUUUGAGAUUCUCGAUCGUGUGGGAGAGGUGUCUUAUAGACUUGCAUUUCCACCUAGUUUGUGAGUCGUACAUCCAGUUUUUCAUGUGUCCAUGUUUUGGAGAUAUCACGGCGACCCAGCCCACAUGUUAGAUUUCAGAACUGUCCAGUUGGACAAGGAUCUAUCUUAUUAGGAGGAGCCGAUGGCUAUUCUAGUAUGCAGGUUCGACAGUUGAGGUCGUAGAGUUUUCCUUAAGUGCGUGUUCAGUGGAGAGGUCAGCCUCCUGAGGCAAUGACCUGGGAGUCUGAAUCCGAUAUGUGGAACAGUUACCCUCAUCUUUCCCCGACUCAGGUACUUCCUUUUUCUGUCCAUUCGAGGAUGAACAAUUGUUUUAGAAGUGGAGAAUGUGACGAUCCAAAGGUUCAUCACCGGUUUACUUAUGCUUUCUGUGUCUCCGAGGCCUUGAAAACCUCAUUUAGGAUUGCCUCGAUUAGCAUGCGCAGUCCGAGUGCAUAGCCGGAAAGCUUAAAAGGUGAAAUUUAGUAAAAAUUACUAAGUUUUGAUAUUGAAAUGAAUAAGUUAAUUUUGGUCAACAUUUUGGGUAAACGGACCCGAACCCAUAAUUUGACAGUCCCGGAGGGUUCGUAGGAAAAUAUGGGACUUGGGCGUAUGCCCGGAAUCGAAUUCCGAGGUCCAAAGCCCGAGAAAUGAAUUUUGAGUAAAAUUGUUUUCUGGAAAUAAUUAUGGAAAUUAAAAAUGAAAUUUGAUUAGAAGACUAUGGUACCAAGCCCGUAUUUUUGUUCCGACGCCUGGUACAAGUCUUAUAUAUGAUUUAAACACUUUCUAUAAAGUUUGGUUGAAUACGAACAUAGUUUGACGUGUUUCAGACUUAAAAUGGAACUUUGAUAUUAUAUGAAAAAUCUGGAAGAAAUCAUGAGCUUUGAGGCUUGAUUUGGUGUAUAUGAUGUUAUUUUGAGGAUUUUAUCGCAUGAAUAUAUUUGUUGGGUGUGUUUGAGGUUGUGAGUAUAUUUGGUUUGAGCCCUGAGGGCUCGGGUGAGCUUCCAGUAGGUUCCAGGAUGCCUUAGAGCUAAUCAGAUGUUGCAGGUCAAGGAAAAAUUGAAUAGGUCUCUGAACCCUCCAGUGUGGCCCGCGCAGAAACGAGUGCGGUCGUGACGGGGCCAGCCCAGCCGUGAUCUCUUUUGACAAGUUCGUGGUGGGCUCUGCAUGGCCGCAGUCUGUCUGGUGCCAUCCGCACUGGGAAAUGAUCCGCAGGCUAUGCGGGUGCGGUUCUUUUUGCCCGGUUCGCACGGAGACUUCCAAAGGGAUAUAAAUACACAUGAAUUUCUGUUAUUUUUUGACUUUUCAAAAAUCCAAAACAUAAGAGGCGAUUUUCCAAACAACUCUUCUUCUCCAAAACGAUCAGUUAGUGAUUGUAGCUCAUUUUCUUUACUCCUUAACAUCUUUUAACAUAAUUUCAACUUUAAAUCAAUGAUUUUCAUGGAGAAAUUGGGAAUUUCGGGUAGAACGUAGGGUUUUCUAAAAUUUAAGGAUUUGGACCUCAAUUUGAAGUCCGAUUUCAAAACAAAUCAUAUUUAUGAACUCGUGGGGGAAUGGGUAAUCGGGUUUUGGUUCAAACCUCGGGUUUUGACCAUGCAGGCAUGGGGGCAUGUUUGGAAUUUUGGGCAAAACUUUGAGUUUGAGAAAUUUAUUUUCAUGCAUUCAAAUUGAUUCAAUUAGCACUUGUUGAUGUAUUCAAGUAAUUUGUGACUAGAUUCAAGCAGUUUUGUGGUAGAAUCAAGGGGUAAAGCUAUAUGUGAGGCUUGAGUUGAGUUUUAUGCAUCGAGGUACAUGUUCGGUCUAACUUUAGCUUAAGGGAUUAGGUGUUGAGUCAUAUCUGCUAUUUGUUUCUUGUUUGGCACGACGUAUAGGCAUGGUGACAAGCAUCUAUACUUUGGUGUCAAGCAUGGCCGUGAGUAUUAAAUUGAUAUUUGUGCUUCUUGAGUAAUGUUAUGAUUGAAAUAGUAGGAAAAUUCGUAGUAUUGAGCAAAGGCUUAGUUUAUUUUCGUAGAAGAACUCGAGAGAUGAAAAUAAUGAUAGUAAUGAUGAUUAGAAGUUGAGUUGAGAUUGGUUAUAUCUGAUUCUCCCUUGUCGGGACGUUUAUACUUAUGUUGUUGAGUUCCCUUGCUGGGAUAGUAUAAUAUAUGGUUAGUCCCUUGUCAGGAUUGUUGUUAUGAUCACUAUAAGCUGUACAUUUGGAACGGGCUGCGCGUCGUAGUAUCUUUAUUAAUGAAAGUAUAUACGUUGGAUUGGGUUGCACGGCAGAACAGAUAUUAUAUAUACUGGGUCAGGUUGCACGCCACAACAACUAUAAUAUGCAUAUGGAUCGGGUUGCACGCCGCAAUAGAUAUUAUAUAUACUGGAUUAGGUUGCACGCCGCAACAAUUGUAAUAUGCAUAUGGAUCGAGUUGCGCACCGCAACAGUAGUAUUAUUAGUCUACUUAAGCUACAAUACUGUUCCUUCAUAUUUAUUUGAUUUCUGUUGAAUAAAAUUGUUCCCCUGAAGAAUGUACCCUCUCCCUUCUACUGCUUAUUGAUUGUUUAUUUUUUCAUCAUAUAUUAUAUAUAACUGCGCAGGUUUAUCUGGAGUUUGGUCCUAGCCUCGUCAUUAUCUUGCUGGGGUUAGGCCAGACACUUUCCAGCACAUGGGGUCUGUUGUGCUGAUGAUACACCCUGCACUUAUGUGCAGAUAUCGUAGCAGCUUACAGAGACCAGCAGUAACCAGGGAGCCAACCUUCAGUCCACGGGAUCCCGAGGUAGUCAUGUAGGCGCCCUCUGAUCCGACAUCUCUUCUAUCUGUUUAUGCCAUAUUUCCUUUUGUACUCGAGACAGAGUUUUGUUUCAUUGUUUCAGACUCUUGUAUUUAGCACUAUUAGAUAGUCCGUGAUAAGUUGUGACACUAGAUGGUGGGUAGAGACCUAUAUAGAAGUUUUAGACUUUGUAGUUAUUUUUAAUUCAGACUUCUGCUAUUUUAUUAAAUCGCUGUCUUUUAAUUGCUUAAAGUAUUAGUUAUUUAAUGGUUUUAAGCAUGUAAUAAAGGAGAUAGGAUAACGUUGUGAAGGUUCUUGGAUUGCCUAACUUCUAUGCGUAGGCGCUAUCACGACUCCCGGGGNNNNNNNNNNNNNNNNNNNNNNNNNNNNNNNNNNNNNNNNNNNNNNNNNNNNNNNNNNNNNNNNNNNNNNNNNNNNNNNNNNNNNNNNNNNNNNNNNNNNNNNNNNNNNNNNNNNNNNNNNNNNNNNNNNNNNNNNNNNNNNNNNNNNNNNNNNNNNNNNNNNNNNNNNNNNNNNNNNNNNNNNNNNNNNNNNNNNNNNNNNNNNNNNNNNNNNNNNNNNNNNNNNNNNNNNNNNNNNNNNNNNNNNNNNNNNNNNNNNNNNNNNNNNNNNNNNNNNNNNNNNNNNNNNNNNNNNNNNNNNNNNNNNNNNNNNNNNNNNNNNNNNNNNNNNNNNNNNNNNNNNNNNNNNNNNNNNNNNNNNNNNNNNNNNNNGGGGGGGGGAGGAAAUUCUGGAUCGUGACAAUCACAUAUAAUAUAAUAAAGUAUUUCAAGAUACUGUACUAUAUUACUAUUAUUUUUAAAAAAUUAAAUAGUGUACCAAUUAAACGCAUCUAAUACAAUCAGAAAAUGACUCAACUAGUAUAUGAUACCAUAUAGUAUACAACAAUACUAAUAGGGUAUAUAAUUGUACGGGGUUCGUUCCAACAACUGCAUAUAACUAUAAAAACUAUUACAUAAUAUACAAAAUCUAUAUAGGUACAAGAAAAUCCAACAUACCAAAAUAUGAUCAUAUAAAUUAUUUUAGAAUAGAAUUCACUUAAAAUGCAGCUAAAACAACUAAAAAAUAUCCCAACUACUACAUGAUACCAAUAUGACAUAUAAUUAUACCAAUAGGGUAUAUAGUUCUACUAAUUAAUUCCAGAAAACUAUAUAUGGCUAUACUACUAUUACAUAAUACACAUGCAUAAAGAGAAAAAUAAAAAAUAGUGUACCACAUAUUAACAAAAGAAUAUAUUUAAAGAUAUUGUAUUAUAAUACUAUUAUAUAAAACAAACACAUAAAGAAAAAAUCAAAUUGAUUACAUAAUACACAUGUAUAAAAGAAAUUUAAAAAAUUCAAGUACUAAAAAAAAUCAAACAAUGCAAUAAUUAAAUAUAGCUAAUACAACCAAAAAAUGUUCCAACUAACAUAUGAUACCAAUAUAGUAUAUAGCUAAAAAUAUUAGUUGUCACAAAAUCUAAUUAACUCAAUGAGAGCUUAUGCAAUGAAUAAUACCUCCAUGGAAUUCCAUUAGUGUUAAUAAAUAUUAUUAAUGUUAAUAAAUAUUAUUAUUUAUUAUUUAUUGAAAUUGUGGAUAAAAAAUUCAGGACAAUUCUUUUGAAAUUGGGGUAUACACGACAACCGAGAGUUUCUCCGAUCAAACUUAUUUCUCUUGUCCAUUUUUCUCACUGUGAAUAUCCUAUUUUGUUUUUAUUUUUCAAAUAAUUAUCAAUAUAUAUAUAUAUAUAUAUAUAUAUAUUUCGACAGUCAAAGUACAUAUCAUAUACAAAGAGAUAGUCACAAGUAAUGUGAUUCAAGUCAUAUAAUGAAAUAAAAAGGGGAAUAAAUUUACAUUUUCCACAUGCCCCUCACGUGGGGUAAAUCAAAUUAAAGGGGAAAUAGGAAAUUGAGUUGUCCGGUAAUAAGUUUGUAUUGUAUAGGUAAGAAUUGUAAUUAGUUUUAAAGUGGGCAACAACGGAUAAUUACUUUGGCCUUGAUAGGCAUUAUGUGUUAUUUCCUCAUAUUUAUUUUGUUUCCGCCAUACGAACACAUGUAACAUAAGUUUAAUUAGCAGAAUGGCCAAGUUUUGUGCCCCUUUUAGCCCUUUACAAUAUAACCAUCUUCUGGUUAAUGGCUAGAACCAAAUAUGUGCUUUAGUAAAAGAAGUUGUCGCCUUUUUCAACAGUACAUCUGUUUGCUGGUAGCUAAUUUAUUUAUAUAGGGAAUAGUGGAAGAAAGAAUAAAGGCGAAUUCAGAAAUUGAGCAUUAUGUGUUUGAGUUCGGAAUUCUACCGCUGCCAAGUUGAUUUUGUGUUAGAAAUUAAUAAUGUGUACUUAUUUAGUAGAUAUUUAAAUAUAUAUACAUGAUUCGAAUCAAAAUUAUUGAAUUUGAAUGAACUCAUAAGGCAUACACUAGAUCUAGUAAGGGUAGAUAAUGAUAGAGAACUUAGAAAAAUCUCAAUGUGGGCUUUCCACCAGAGUCAGCUCCUAAAAUAUUUUUGUAGUGAGUGCUAGCUAUAAUGCUCCAUUUUCUGUUUAAAGUCUUUAAAGUAAAAUAAAAAUAAAAAUAAAAUAAUACAUUUUCCCUUUCCUACAAUGAGUUUAAGUCUUGGACAUGCUCUAUUUGUGUAUAGUUUUUUGCACCAUCAUACUAAGUGACUUUAUAAUAAGCAAAUUUUCAUAACAAGCCUGUUAUGGUAUUCUAAAAAUAAAGUAAUAACAUGCAUUAAGCUGGUGGUGUAAACUUUUCUUUUUUACAUGAUAAAUCGUUUAAUAUUAGUUGAUCUUUAGUUAAACUUCUUAUUAGAUUUUUUUUCCUGAAAUGGUAAAAGUUUUAUUGAUAGAAAGUACUGAAGAUGGGAUAGUAUAAGUAGUACAAUAACAAAGGAAUCAGAGGCGAAGCCACCUUUUGCUAAGGUUAUCGAAAUAUUACGGAAAAGUACACUAUGCGUAUAAGUAAAAUAUUGAUUUUAGAUGUAUAUAACAUAUAUUGAACACUCUUUGUCGGAAUUUUUUUUUGCUUUCAGGUUUGAAUACCCUUGGAAGAAAAAAACAAACAUACUUACUUUAGCUAAACUUCCUAUUAGAUUGUAAAGAGAAGUAAACUGAAACCUUCUUGAGAAUACUUAAUUAAUUUAACCAUAACUUACACCAACAAUAACAACAAAAACAACAACAACAACAACCCAGUAUAAUCCUACUUAGUGGGGUCUGGGGAGGGUAGUGUGUACACAGACUUUACCCCUACCCUUGGGUAGAGAGGCAGUUUCCAAAUAGACCCCCGGCAUCCUUCCCUCCAAGNNNNNNNNNNNNNNNNNNNNNNNNNNNNNNNNNNNNNNNNNNNNNNNNNNNNNNNNNNNNNNNNNNNNNNNNNNNAAGAACUUCCCACCUUGCUCUUGGGAAGACUCGAACUCACAACCUCUCGAUUGGAAGUGGGGGUUGCUUACCAUCAGAGCAACCCCUCUUGUCUUAACCAUAAUUUACACCCCACCAUAUAAACUUUGUUACAUUCAACUAUUCAAGGAUCAAAUAAAAACAGGAUAUUGCUACACAUACAAGAAACACAAUUAUAACAAGACCACACAUUAUAAACAGCUACUAAUUGUCAUGCAAAUUGAUAGCACCUAAACUCUAGAGCCACUAAUAAAAAUACCCUUUGCAACAUAAAUAUAUGUAUACAAGACUAAAUGUUUUGUAUGAAUCCUAACCAUGGCUAUUGAGAGAAGCAACAACAUCAUCCUUUUCUUGAGUAGUAGUGGUUGCUGGAGAAGUGGGAUUUUGGUUAUUAUCCCAAGACUCCCUAGGAAUUGAAUGGUGGUUAUUUAUAUCAGGCUGCGUAUCGUAAGACGUUGCGAGUUCUGAGUCAAGUAAGUUCUCCUUCUUGCUUUGUGCCAUCUUUCUAUUAAUAGCAAAAGCCAAGUCUGUUGCCAUAAAAAGAAAAAGCAGAAAGAAUACAACAAUUUUCAUGGUCAAUAAUGAGUCCCAAGUCUAUGUUUUGUAAAAUGCUGUAUUGGUGAUUUUAAGGGUGUUACUAUUUAUAGA
rnacentral:lncRNA from 1 species